ACGCGUAAGAAUCUAGCUUCAGGUUCGGGACAACAGUUGGAAACGACUGCUAAUACCGGAUGUGCCUACGGGUGAAAGGCUUGCUGCCUGAAGAAGAGCUUGCGUCCGAUUAGCUAGUUGGUGAGGUAAAGGCUUACCAAGGCAUCGAUCGGUAGCUGGUCUGAGAGGAUGACCAGCCACACUGGGACUGAGACAAGGCCCAGACUCCUACGGGAGGCAGCAGUGGGGAAUUUUCCGCAAUGGGCGAAAGCCUGACGGAGCAAUACCGCGUGAGGGAAGAAGGCUCUUGGGUUGUAAACCUCUUUUCUCAGGGAAUAAAAAAAUGAAGGUACCUGAGGAAUAAGCAUCGGCUAACUCCGUGCCAGCAGCCGCGGUAAUACGGAGGAUGCAAGCGUUAUCCGGAAUGAUUGGGCGUAAAGCGUCCGCAGGUGGUACAACAAGUCUAGUGUCAAAGACCGGGGCUCAACUCCGGGAUGGCGGUGGAAACUGUUGAACUAGAGGGUCGUAGGGGUAGAGGGAAUUCCCAGUGUAGCGGUGAAAUGCGUAGAGAUUGGGAAGAACAUCGGUGGCGAAGGCGCUCUACUGGACGGCAACUGACACUCAGGGACGAAAGCUAGGGGAGCGAAUGGGAUUAGAUACCCC
rnacentral:rRNA from 1 species